AGACUCAGCUGAGUCACUUGCCUCCACACCCUCUACCUCAACCUCCUCUGAAGUGCCUUCUGGGGAAGGAGAUUUGGCUCUAGGAGAAACUUGAGGGGCAUGGAGCACCAACUCAGAUGAUUCCCCCUCCUUCCCCAGAAUUUCCCUUGCUAUGGCACACAGAUCCAGAUCCACCUUUGGCUCUUCCUUUGGCAUUGGAAGGCUCAGUAUGGGAAGUGAAAUGGGGGUGGAGGAGAUUGUCAUGCUGGUGCUGCUUCAGGUGUUGGUGCUGGUG